rnacentral:rRNA from 1 species
GAUGAACGCUGGCGGCGUGCCUAAUACAUGCAAGUCGAGCGAACGGACGAGAAGCUUGCUUUUCUGAUGUUAGCGGCGGACGGGUGAGUAACACGUGGAUAACCUACCUAUAAGACUGGGAUAACUUCGGGAAACCGGAGCUAAUACCGGAUAAUAUUUUGAACCGCAUGGUUCAAAAGUGAAGACGGUCUUGCUGUCACUUAUAGAUGGAUCCGCGCUGCAUUAGCUAGUUGGUAAGGUAACGGCUUACCAAGGCAACGAUGCAUAGCCGACCUGAGAGGGUGAUCGGCCACACUGGAACUGAGACACGGUCCAGACUCCUACGGGAGGCAGCAGUAGGGAAUCUUCCGCAAUGGGCGAAAGCCUGACGGAGCAACGCCGCGUGAGUGAUGAAGGUCUUCGGAUCGUAAAACUCUGUUAUUAGGGAAGAACAUAUGUGUAAGUAACUGUGCACAUCUUGACGGUACCUAAUCAGAAAGCCACGGCUAACUACGUG